AACGAACGCUGGCGGCAUGCCUAACACAUGCAAGUCGAACGAGACCUUCGGGUCUAGUGGCGCACGGGUGCGUAACGCGUGGGAACCUGCCCUUAGGUUCGGAAUAACUCCCCGAAAGGGGUGCUAAUACCGGAUAAUGUCUUCGGACCAAAGAUUUAUCGCCUUUGGAUGGGCCCGCGUUGGAUUAGCUAGUUGGUAGGGUAAAAGCCUACCAAGGCGGCGAUCCAUAGCUGGUCUGAGAGGAUGAUCAGCCACACUGGGACUGAGACACGGCCCAGACUCCUACGGGAGGCAGCAGGGGGGAAUAUUGGACAAUGGGCGAAGGGCUGAUCCAGCAAUGCCGCGUGAGUGAUGAAGGCCUUAGGGUAGUAAAGCUCUUUUACCCGGGAUGAUAAUGACAGUACCGGGAGAAUAAGCUCCGGCUAACUCCGUG
rnacentral:rRNA from 1 species